rnacentral:rRNA from 1 species
AGCGAACGCUGGCGGCAGGCCUAACACAUGCAAGUCGAACGGAUCCUUCGGGAUUAGUGGCAGACGGGUGAGUAACACGUGGGAACGUGCCCUUUGGUUCGGAACAACUCAGGGAAACUUGAGCUAAUACCGGAUGUGCCCUUCGGGGGAAAGAUUUAUCGCCAUUGGAGCGGCCCGCGUCUGAUUAGCUAGUUGGUGAGGUAACGGCCCACCAAGGCGACGAUCAGUAGCUGGUCUGAGAGGAUGAUCAGCCACACUGGGACUGAGACACGGCCCAGACUCCUACGGGAAGCAGCAGUGGGGAAUCUUGCGCAAUGGGCGAAAGCCUGACGCAGCCAUGCCGCGUGAAUGAUGAAGGUCUUAGGAUUGUAAAAUUCUUUCAGCGGGGACGAUAAUGACGGUACCCGCAGAAGAAGCUCCGGCUAACUUCGUG